AGAGAAAGACACCUGCAGACCUGGUAUGCUUGAGUGCUCAGAGAGAACUUGCGGGGCUUGAUCACUGGCAGAGGGCUGUGAGUGCCUUUGCUAAUGCCUGGGUCAGAAACACAC
rnacentral:snoRNA from 1 species